UUUGAAACACCGGUUCCCGUACGAUCAGCGAAGUUAAGCAACGUCGAGCCUGUUCAGUAUCUAGAUGAGUGGCUGCUUGGAUGUGCGGGUGGUGUA